rnacentral:sRNA from 1 species
GGGGGCCAUCGGCUGAGAUGCAGGGCUACAUGAUGCGGGACCUCAACAGGGCUUGAAAGAAGGGAGGAAAAAGCACCAAGUUCUCAGGGAAGACAAUAAG